rnacentral:tRNA from 1 species
GGGAUUGUGGCUCAGCGAUAGAGCGCUCCUCUAGCAUGUGGGAGGUCCUGGGUUCGAUCUUCAGCAACUCA